rnacentral:sRNA from 1 species
AUGUCUAUUAAUGUGCAGACUAUGAGU